AAGUCGUAACAAGGUUUCCGUAGGUGAACCUGCGGAAGGAUCAUUAUCACGUAUCCAAACGUAUAAACCCAAUGUGCACCUCAAAUUCCUCCGCUGGAAAUGAAGUGGCAGAGAAGUUGAUAUUCUGAUUCAUGGUCUUUCAGAAUUCUCUGUCUUGAUUCUCUUUAUUGAGUUUCAGCCUUCUACUCCGGGAGUCGUAUCAAACCAUGCUUGUUUUACUAAACAACUUGUACCUUUCUGAACUAACUUUGGUUGGAAAAAAACAACAGGUCUUCGGAUCUGGCUGUUUUUUGAUAACCUUGAUUUAUAUAAACUCUGAACUACUCUUAACUACGGAUAUCUUGGUUCUC
rnacentral:misc_RNA from 1 species